rnacentral:lncRNA from 1 species
CUGGUGAGAUGAGCCUCCACCAAAUGGUCUUGAGGUGCCUUUUAUGUCCUCCAAGGUCCACCCAAUUGCUUCUUUGUGCUUCCUCAACACCUUUAGGAGUUUUUCCUCUUCUCCUUGGCUGAGCUGGUUAGAAAUAAUUACUGGAAGUGUAUUUCCAGCUCCCAAGUAGGCAUAUUUGAGGUGUUCUAGUAAGGGCUUCAGAACUGGUGCAUUUUCUGUCUGCUGGUUUGCUUGCUGUCUGCUUGCUGAUGGGGGCAGAUUUGGUGUUGAUUUGGGCAAAUCAUCUGGUGAUCUGGGCAAAUCACUAUCUGUCAAGUCUGUCUGCUCCAGUGACUUGGGC